UACGGAGGAUCCGAGCGUUAUCCGGAUUUAUUGGGUUUAAAGGGUGCGCAGGCGGGGGAUUAAGUCGGCGGUGAAAUUUUGCAGCUCAACUGUAAAAGUGCCUUCGAAACUGGUUUCCUUGAGUGUAGAUGAAGUAGGCGGAAUUUGUGGCGUAGCGGUGAAAUGCAUAGAUAUCACGAGGAACUCCGAUUGCGCAGGCAGCUUACUAAACUACUACUGACGCUCAGGCACGAAGGCGUGGGGAUCAAACAGGAUUAGAUACCCUGGUAGU
rnacentral:rRNA from 1 species